UACGGAGGAUGCAAGCGUUAUCCGGAAUGAUUGGGCGUAAAGCGUCCGCAGGUGGCUGUGUAAGUCUGCUGUCAAAGAGCGAAGCUCAACUUCGUAAAGGCAGUGGAAACUACACGGCUAGAGUGCGUUCGGGGCAGAGGGAAUUCCUGGUGUAGCGGUGAAAUGCGUAGAGAUCGGAAAGAACACCAACGGCGAAAGCACUCUGCCGGGCCGACACUGACACUGAGAGACGAAAGCUAGGGGAGCGAAUGGG
rnacentral:rRNA from 1 species